rnacentral:tRNA from 1 species
GCCUGGGUGGCGGAAUGGCAGACGCAUCGGACUUAAAAUCCGAUGGCCUUAAAGGCCGUAUGGGUUCGACUCCCAUCCCGGGCA